rnacentral:tRNA from 1 species
CCCAGGACGGUCAGGAGCUUGGGCAGGCCGUCCCUGCCGGCCUCGGUGGGGGGAGUCUUGACGGUGCUCAUGUGCGGCUCGUCGGCAUGGGG